UGGGGAAUAUUGGACAAUGGGCGAAAGCCUGAUCCAGCCAUGCCGCGUGUGUGAAGAAGGUCUUCGGAUUGUAAAGCACUUUAAGUUGGGAGGAAGGGCAGUAAGCGAAUACCUUGCUGUUUUGACGUUACCGACAGAAUAAGCACCGGCUAACUCUGUGCCAGCAGCCGCGGUAAUACAGAGGGUGCAAGCGUUAAUCGGAAUUACUGGGCGUAAAGCGCGUGUAGGUGGUUCGUUAAGUUGAAUGUGAAAGCCCCGGGCUCAACCUGGGAACUGCAUCCAAAACUGGCGAGCUAGAGUAGGGCAGAGGGUGGUGGAAUUUCCUGUGUAGCGGUGAAAUGCGUAGAUAUAGGAAGGAACACCAGUGGCGAAGGCGACCACCUGGGCUCAUACUGACACUGAGGUGCGAAAGCGUGGGGAGCAAACAGG
rnacentral:rRNA from 1 species